AUGCCAGCUUUCUCCGGGGGACGGGGCCUGUAUCCGCGGGGGCAGCACCACCAGGGGCCCGGAAAGCGCGGGGGUCGGCCCGGACGAGGGCAGAGCAGGCUGCGGGUGCCGGGCCCCGCCGCCGCCACAAAGGCGCACCCGGCUCAACGCUGGCCGGUCUUGGGUUUUAAGACAAAGCGGAGUAAUUUCGUCAGUCGGGCCGCGUGCAGGGAGCACACAAAGGGCCUCGGCUCCGGCGGCCCGGGGCGGCCGUGGACGGCAGCGCGGGCCAGGGCGGGCUCUGCGGGAACAGGGGUUUGGGUUGCGAGGAGCCCCCCCCGCCGCCGCCGCCGCCGCCGCUUUUCCGCCCAGUCAGUACAAAACACACACAUACACACACUGCGUCAACGCAGUUUUUGGCCACGGAUCCCGCCGGGUAAACAGAGGGGGGUGGGGGCGGAAUAUGGCGGCCAGACCCGGGAGCACCGCGGCCCGGCGCCGCCUCUGCGCGCGGUGCACGGCGCCCCAGCCUGGCUGUGCGUCCGCGUGUGGCCGCCGGAGCGGCGGGCGUGCUUCCCCAGGCCUCCGAGGCUUGGCACGGGGGCCCCAGAGGCGCCCCGCGGGCCGCGGGGGUCUCGGGAGGCGCCCGGGCUGCGCCCACCUCGGCCUGGGAUCCUCCUCCCCCCAACAUGGCUCCCGGACGCUGUUUACCCAGCGCCUGCGAGGGCACCGGGCCGCGCGGGGGCCGGCGGCGAGGGGUGGGGGGGCGCACAGGCCGGCGGGGCCGCGGCGCCCCCGCGCCCCCCGCGUUUGCGGAGCCGGCGUGGGCAGGCUGUGCGCGCAGCCCGCGGCCGGGACCCGGGAGCCGCCGCCGCCGCCGCCGCCGCCGUGUCCCCAGGCCCUGCGCCCGGCCGGGCUCGGGCGGACACUGGCGCGGCCGCGGGUGUGAGUGUGCGCCGGGAGGGCGGCGCGACCCGGCGGAGGCCCACAAAGGCCCGGGAGGAGGGGCUGGGGGAGGGGGUCUCGCCCCGCGACCCUAAUGAAAUGCAGGCUCGGUUCGCCACGCAGACAAGGCGCACACUUGGAAAAAUGCAAACGCCAUUGGCAAAUGCAGGGCAAACAGGCAGAAUUUUUAUUAGCAACUAA
rnacentral:lncRNA from 1 species